GACGAACGCUGGCGGCGUGCUUAACACAUGCAAGUCGAACGGUGACGAGGAGCUUGCUCCUCUGAUCAGUGGCGAACGGGUGAGUAACACGUGAGCAACCUGCCCCAGACUCUGGGAUAACAGUUGGAAACAGCUGCUAAUACCGGAUACGAGACGGAGAGGCAUCUCUACCGUCUGGAAAGUUUUUCGGUCUGGGAUGGACUCGCGGCCUAUCAGCUAGUUGGUGAGGUAAUGGCUCACCAAGGCGACGACGGGUAGCCGGCCUGAGAGGGCGACCGGCCACACUGGGACUGAGACACGGCCCAGACUCCUACGGGAGGCAGCAGUGGGGAAUAUUGCACAAUGGGCCCGAAAGCCUGAUGCAGCGACGCCGCGUGAGGGAUGACGGCCUUCGGGUUGUAAACCUCUUUCAGCAGGGAAGAAGCGAAAGUGACGGUACCUGCAGAAGAAGCACCGGCUAACUACGUG
rnacentral:rRNA from 1 species